GGCCACGUAGCUGAACUGGAGUCCCUGAGAAAGACAAUCAGCACCCGAUUUGUAAUCGGGAGAAUGUGGGUUCGAGUCCCACCGUGGCCACCA
rnacentral:tRNA from 1 species